GGCGAUCAGAUACCGCCCUAGUUCUAACCGUAAACGAUGACAACCAGCGAUUAGCGGGCGUUAAUAAACGACCUCGCUAGCAGCUUCCGGGAAACCAAAGUUUUUCGUUUCCGGGGGAAGUAUGGUUGCAAAGCUGAAACUUAAAGGAAUUGACGGAAGGGCACCACCAGGAGUGGAGCCUGCGGCUUAAUUUGACUCAACACGGGAAAACUCACCCGGCCCGGACACCGUAAGGAUUGACAGACUGAGAGCUCUUUCUUGAUUCGGUGGGUGGUGGUGCAUGGCCGUUCUUAGUUGGUGGAGCGAUUUGUCUGGUUAAUUCCGAUAACGAACGAGACUCUGGCCUAUUAAAUAGACGUUAGAUCCCGUCUUGUCUAACGCGCUUCUUAGAGGGACAAGCGGCGUUUAGCCGCAUGAAAUAGAGCAAUAACAGGUCUGUGAUGCCCUUAGAUGUCCGGGGCUGCACGCGCGCUACACUGAAAGAAUCAGCGUGCGACAAUCGCCUGGUCCGGAAGGAUCGGGUAACCCGAGUAAAUUCUUUCGUGCUUGGGAUAGGGAAUUGCAAUUAUUUCCCUUGAACGAGGAAUUCCCAGUAAAUGCGGGUCAUAAGCUCGCGUUGAUUACGUCCCUGCCCUUUGUA
rnacentral:rRNA from 1 species